ACAAGCAGGACUUCGACUGGAAUUUGUGGAGCCUUCUGACGGAGGGGUCUAUGAACUGUUUACCGUGUUUUCCGACGGAACGUCACAAAAAACAAUAUAUCUGUCCAGGCUACUAGUAUCGAUCCGUGUGAGGGACCUGACUGCAUACAGCACACAGAUGUCAUACAUCAUAGUGAUACAGAUGUUAAAGACGUCGACGUUGUCACACAGUAUGUAUAUCUGUUGACGGUCUGCUGCCAUUGUAACGAUGGCUACGCUAUGGAUGGAAAGAUUUGUGCUGAUGUCGAUGAGUGUGAGGAGAAUCCUUGUUAUGCCGGGGAUAUAUGCAAUACUGAAGAUGGGGGCUUCACCUGUCGGUGCCCUCCACAAUUUUCAGGUGUAAUCUGCACUUUUAAAGAAACUGCAAUAUAUAUAGAACCACCCGAAAGUAGACGACGUACAUGUGCUCAAAAUGCGUGUCGAAAUGGAGGAACUUGCCUUGAUAAAGUCACCAGCUUCUUGUUUUGUUUCGUGAAUGGUGAUUAUGAAUUCUUAGGUCCUGGAGAGAGCUGUA